UACGUAGGGGUCGAGCGUUAUCCGGAAUUACUGGGCGUAAAGCGCACGCAGGCGGUUCGCCAAGUUUGGAGUGACAGUUGUCGGCUCAACCGACAAAGGACUUCAAAAACUGGUGAACUUGAGGACGAGAGAGGAACAUGGAACUCCAGGUGUAGUAGUGAAAUGCGUAGAUAUCUGGAAGAACACCAAUGGCGAAGGCAAUGUUCUGGCUCGUUUCUGACGCUCAGGUGCGAAAGCCAGGGGAGCGAACGGG
rnacentral:rRNA from 1 species